rnacentral:misc_RNA from 1 species
ACACCGGCGCGGGCGUUUAACAAAGGCCGCAAGAGCCUCUUUUCGGCUUUAGCUGGAGCGCGAGGGCAGGGGGACUGGGUUCAAAAAAUCUUGGAAAUUUACAGUCUGAGCGUUAGCAAGUAAAUUAGUUAAAACUUUCACAAAGGAUCUCUUGGUUCCGGCGUCGGAGAAGAACGCGGCGAAAUGCGAUAAGUAAUGUGAAUUGCAAAAUUCCGUGAGUCUUCGAAUCUUUGAACGCACAUUGCGCCCUCUGGUAUUCCGGGGGGCAGCCUGUUCGAGCGUCAUUUCAACCCCUCAAGCCCGGCUUGUGUGAUGGACGACCGUCCGACCUCCUCUUUCGGGGGCGGGACGCGCCCGAAAAGCAGUGGCCAGGCCGCGAUCCGGCUUCCUGGGCGAAUGGGCAGUCAAACCAGCGCCCUCGGACCGGCCGCUCUGGCCUUCCCCCAA